GAUGAACGCUGGCGGCGUGCCUAAUGCAUGCAAGUCGAGCGAACGGACGAGAAGCUUGCUUCUCUGAUGUUAGCGGCGGACGGGUGAGUAACACGUGGAUAACCUACCUAUAAGACUGGGAUAACUUCGGGAAACCGGAUCUAAUACCGGAUGAUAUUUUGGACCGCAUGGUUCAAAAGUGAAAGACGGUCUUGCUGUCACUUAUAGAUGGAUCCGCGCUGCAUUAGCUAGUUGGUAAGGUAACGGCUUACCAAGGCAACGAUGCAUAGCCGACCUGAGAGGGUGAUCGGCCACACUGGAACUGAGACACGGUCCAGACUCCUACGGGAGGCAGCAGUAGGGAAUCUUCCGCAAUGGGCGAAGGCCUGACGGAGCAACGCCGCGUGAGUGAUGAAGGUCUUCGGAUCGUAAAACUCUGUUAUUAGGGAAGAACAUAUGUGUAAGUAACUGUGCACAUCUUGACGGUACCUAAUCAGAAAGCCACGGCUAACUACGUG
rnacentral:rRNA from 1 species